rnacentral:tRNA from 1 species
GGCUUAGUAGUUCAAGUACGGUAGAACUAGAGUAGCAUUGUCCUGGGUCCGACUCCCAGUUAGGCCA